rnacentral:rRNA from 1 species
UACGGAGGGGGCUAGCGUUGUUCGGAAUUACUGGGCGUAAAGCGCACGUAGGCGGCUUUGUAAGUUAGAGGUGAAAGCCCAGGGCUCAACCCUGGAAUUGCCUUUAAGACUGCAUCGCUAGAAUUGUGGAGAGGUAAGUGGAAUUCCGAGUGUAGAGGUGAAAUUCGUAGAUAUUCGGAAGAAACACCAGUGGCGAAGGCGACUUACUGGACACAUAUUGACGCUGAGGUGCGAAAGCGUGGGGAGCAAACAGG